CCUACGGGGGGCAGCAGUGAGGAAUAUUGGUCAAUGGACGAGAGUCUGAACCAGCCAAGUAGCGUGAAGGAUGACUGCCCUAUGGGUUGUAAACUUCUUUUAUAAAGGAAUAAAACGAGGCACGUGUGCCUUUUUGCAUGUACUUUAUGAAUAAGGAUCGGCUAACUCCGUGCCAGCAGCCGCGGUAAUACGGAGGACCCGAGCGUUAUCCGGAUUUAUUGGGUGUAAAGAGAGGGUAGAUGGGUGGUUAAGUCAGUUGUGAAAGUUUGCGGCUCAACCGUAAAAUUGCAAUUGAAACUGGCAGUCUGGAGUACGGUUGAGGUAGGCGGAAUUCGUGGUGUAGCGGUGAAAUGCUUAGAUAUCACGAAGAACCCCGAUUGCGAAGGCAGCUUACUAAACUGUGACUGACAUUGAUGCUCGAAAGUGUGGGUAGCAAACAGGAUUAGAUACCCCUGUAGUC
rnacentral:rRNA from 1 species